CAAACGACUCUCGGCAACGGAUAUCUCGGCUCACGCAUCGAUGAAGAACGUAGCAAAAUGCGAUACUUGGUGUGAAUUGCAGAAUCCCGUGAACCAUCGAGUUUUUGAACGCAAGUUGCGCCCGACGCCUUUUGGCCGAGGGCACGUCUGCCUGGGCGUCACGC
rnacentral:rRNA from 1 species